rnacentral:rRNA from 1 species
GACGAACCGUGCGAACGUUGUUCGGAUUCACUGGGCUUAAAGGGCGCGUAGGCGGUCGACCAAGUCUGGGGUGAAAUCUUUCGGCUCAACCGGAAAAGUGCCCCCGAUACUGGCCGGCUAGAGGGAGAUAGGGGCAUGUGGAACUUCCGGUGGAGCGGUGAAAUGCGUAGAUAUCGGAAGGAACGCCGGUGGCGAAAGCGACGUGCUGGAUCUCUUCUGACGCUGAGGCGCGAAAGCCAGGGGAG